CCUAGUCGAGCGGCGAACGGGUGAGUAACGCGUGGAUGACCUGCCUUGGGGUGGGGGAUAGCUCGGGGAAACUCGAAUUAAUACCGCAUAGGAUCGGAAGAUCAAAGGGGCGCAAGUCCCGCCAUGAGAGGGGUCCGCGUACGAUUAGCUAGUUGGUAGGGUAAUGGCCUACCAAGGCGACGAUCGUUAGCCGGCCUGAGAGGGUGAUCGGCCACACUGGAACUGAGACACGGUCCAG
rnacentral:rRNA from 1 species